CCCGGCACAGACAGAAGGUGCAGAAUGUGAACGGAUUACCCUGCCCGGGUUACCUCUCGACUUAAAGUGACAACACUUGAACUCCCUCAUCCUAGAGAUAUUGUGGGACUCGAGGGGGCGGGGGUUUUGAGGUAAUCUCCCUCCUAUAUUUCAGACGAUAGUUCCCGGUAUGGACACCCUCCUGCUUCAUUUCUGGAUGGACGGCUGGUCGGUUCCGAUAAGGGGCCGUACUAUUGUUGGUUCCUGUCAUCCUUGGGGAGAGCGAUUCUGGCAUUAAGUUGUUGGGGUCGGGAUCCCUAUCUUUUACUGUGAAAAAAUUAGAGUGUUCAAAGCAGGCUUAGGCCCUGAAUACAUUAGCAUGGAAUAAUAAGAUACGACCUUGGUGGUCUAUUUUGUUGGUUUGCACGCCAAGGUAAUGAUUAAUAGGGAUAGUUGGGGGUAUUCUUAUUCAAUUGUUUCACGUGGAAGUGUUGCAUGGGUCCAACCCCGACCUAAAACCUUCUAAUUUUUUUACCGAGAGAAGUAUGGGUUACUAAACACUAAACUUAGGGCCUGAACGAUUUUCACUUACCAUCAUAGUCACAAACAUAAACAAUGCCCACUAUGGAACGGUGGGUGCAUUGCAAGGCCAAAUCCCACAUUAUGAUAUAUCACAGUCACAGGGUUCAGGGCGGAGUAUGGUCGCAAAGCUACAGCCUCAAGCAAACUCGACAGAUUGCCACCACUUGAAUCGGAGCCAGCGGCUUAAUUUGACUCACUCGGUAACUUGACUAAGACCCGACUAUUAUGAUUGACGAUGCCACCUCUUUCUAAGAUAGGAAAGUAUGAGCUGCAUGCUCAUAUAAAAAAAAAAAAAA
rnacentral:rRNA from 1 species